rnacentral:rRNA from 1 species
UCUACGGGGGGCAGCAGUGGGGAAUAUUGGACAAUGGGCGAAAGCCUGAUCCAGCCAUGCCGCGUGUGUGAAGAAGGCCUUCGGGUUGUAAAGCACUUUCAGUGGGGAAGAAAGCCUUGGGGCUAAUACCCUCGAGGAAGGACAUCACCCACAGAAGAAGCACCGGCUAACUCCGUGCCAGCAGCCGCGGUAAUACGGAGGGUGCGAGCGUUAAUCGGAAUUACUGGGCGUAAAGCGCGCGUAGGCGGUUUGAUAAGCCGGUUGUGAAAGCCCCGGGCUCAACCUGGGAACGGCAUCCGGAACUGUCAGGCUAGAGUGCAGGAGAGGAAGGUAGAAUUCCCGGUGUAGCGGUGAAAUGCGUAGAGAUCGGGAGGAAUACCAGUGGCGAAGGCGGCCUUCUGGACUGACACUGACGCUGAGGUGCGAAAGCGUGGGUAGCAAACAGGAUUAGAUACCCUUGUAGUC